UACAGAGGUCUCAAGCGUUGUUCGGAUUCAUUGGGCGUAAAGGGUGCGUAGGCGGCGCGGUAAGUCGGGUGUGAAAUCUUGGAGCUUAACUCCGAAACUGCAUUCGAUACUGCCGUGCUUGAGGACUGGAGAGGAGACUGGAAUUUACGGUGUAGCGGUGAAAUGCGUAGAUAUCGGGAGGAACACCGGUGGCGAAGGCGGGUCUCUGGGCAUCUCCUGACGCUGAGGCGCGAAAGCGUGGGGAGCAAACGGGG
rnacentral:rRNA from 1 species